CUGUAGGAAAGGGGUAAAAGGUUUUGUAAUAAGCAGUUGGGUCGGUUGAGAGGGGCUCUUUCCCCCGGAGCCUGCGUGUGUACGGAGCUGGCGGUGAGGGAGCUAUGGCGUGGGGCCAGACCCAAAGCAACCUCCAAACAGCAGAGGUGCAAGGCAAAUUGGACUUCAGCACAAGCGUGGGUGUUAGCUCGAAAUGCAUAACGCAGAAUUGACACACAGCUCAAAGGCCAGGGCCGCAGCCAGUGAGACAGCAACCCCACAACUCGCCAAGUGUUGGGAUCGGGCUACGUGGCAGAAACAGCCAGGAGAAGGAAUGAGCCUCUCAUACUGCAUUUGGAGAGGGACUGCGUUAUCCUACCUGGAUCACGGGUUAUUGUCGAUGCCAAAACUGCGCUGGAUGAUACAGCAGCUGGUGCAAGACCAAACCUGAACAAAACGCACGUGUUUGGUUUCUCUUGUUCCACCCCUGUGGAUCCACUCCCGUUCAUGCAGAUCCUUUCCGCAUCUCUCCUUCAAUUUCAGGUGGCCUUACAGUGAGAAGUGCUGCAUAUGGUAAAUGUGCGCUUUAACUUCACAGCCUCUUCAUUCUGAUACUCCCCCCCCCUUCAUUUUAGUAGGUGAGAUUUGCUGCUCAGCAGUACUGUGCUAAUUGGCAGAUGCAUGUUGGGUAUGUGUGGGACUGAAGCCUGGAUGUUUUCUAGCACAGAGCUUCGGUUUUCUGCGAACUUUUGCAUUUUCCUUUGAACAAAAGGCUACUACUUAAGGGGAAAACAAGAGUCGAGAUCCAAUGAUAUGUCAUGUGUCGUGUGUGCGUGUAUGUCCCAGCAACUCAUCCCAUUUCACCAGUAUUCACCCUCUUCUCUCCCUUCUAUUAUUCAAAGAUUUUUAUUUUAACAUUUCUUAUAAGGGGCACAAUCACAACUUUCACUCCAGCACAAAACGCUUCAAGCGCAGUUGUUGUUCUGUAUGUGGUAGAGACUGUCUCCUGCUUCCCAGCGCUGCAGUAUCUGGAGCCCAGAUUUGUAGGCACAUUUUUGUGGCCUCUUAGUUCUUAUUUUGUUUCUAAAAAAGAAAAAAAGGAAAACUAUUUUAAUAAUUUGACCUGCAUUUUCAUAAUUUCUAAUGUCUGUGGCAUCCUUCCAGAUGUGUUUCUGCCUGCCUGACCCUUCUGUCAAUACUUAUUAAUUUCAUGGCAAUCUUUUCAAGUGUGUUUGGAAACAAACAGGAAAAAGUUACUCUAAGGUCAAGAAUGAGCCCAGGGAAAUGAAGCAGGAAUGAUCAUGCUCCCUACAAUAGUUUAUAUUUCUGUAGCUUUUUCUAUGUUGCUCUUAAAAUGGGCUCUACAGGUACAGAUCAGUAAAGCAUCCCUGAAGGGGGAAGUUGCCACUCGAGUCCUGGAGGUGAGAGGAGGCACCGAGGCGUGAGUUACUAUCUGUUGCUGGCACUACAAGGAGGUGCAGGGCUCUAACCUCUGCGUAAGUGCUUCUGCCAGAGAAGUGAGACACGGGCAUCUCAGGCAGGGUGAGAGUUUUGGCUACUUAACUAAAAAUCCACUGAAAUGUCCUGGUGGAUAAAUGGUGUUGAAAAACUUGGGACUCCCCAGGCAGCAGGACCCGUGAGGUUGAAGUGUCCUCAGUGUGCAGCGUGCUUACCCAGAGCUGUAGCUUUCUUAAGCUGACAGGCUUACCAAAUUAGUGUAAAACAAAAUGUAGCUAAUGAUUUAAACCUAGAAACAAAACUCGGUUUUCUCUGAGAAAACCAGAGGAGAGGCUACUUGCUUUGGUUCUGUUUGUUUGGUUUUUAUUCUGCCCCAUUCUUACAGCUAGAGAGCUGUGUUCAUGGCCUUCAACUCUUCAGAAGAAAAGUGAAGAAGCACCAGCCAAAGCUGGGAAAAGUAAAGGACGGAGGUGUCGGCGGUCCUGGACGAAGCCUGUGCGCUGUGGGCAACCGGUGUCUUGGCAAACAUGGGCCUCUUUUCUCCGGAGUUUCUCCCAGUGGGAAUGAAGAGCCUCCCAGACCCGGGUUGCUCGCCGCAGGGGUGGCACGGUCAGGCAAGAUGAUUUUCAGAGGUGAGAAGUGCUUCUACAGAAAGGGCUGCUGACCCUAAAACAGGAGUAACACCCAGGAGAAAAGCUCUAUGAGGGGAAGUCGCAGGGGGAGCUUGGCUCUCCUGGGCUGUUGCAGCGGGCAGGAGCCGAUUCCCGGGCAAAACACGACGCAACUUGGAGUAAAGUGAAUUUACAAUGUCCUGAGCCGCAGCCCAGUGCUGCACCGGAGGAAGCGAUGGGAACAGCGUAAAGUGAGUGCGACAGCGAACUCCUGCCUCCUGCCCCGGAGACCCCCACGGCAGCGGCUGUUCGGAGGGCAGCCGGCACAUGCUGCGGGCACCCACCCCAGCGAAGAGCCGUGCCAGGCCUGCGUUGCAGGGCUGCGGAGCCCCUGUCCCCAGCCCGGCUGGGUGAUCUGGUCCUCGGCAGGAGUGGGACCGAUGCAGCUCCACGCCAGAGGACUGGAAAUGGGGCGAGGCUUUCCCAACUGCAAAGGGCUUUCCAAACCUGCCCUCUCCUGGUUGUGAGCGCUUCGAAGCUGCUGUCGUGACCUGAUGUCCCAACGCGCUCUGAGGAUUAGGCCAAGGAGGGCUGGUGCACAUGGACUGUCCCGAAGCGGGGAUUCCUUCAGGCUGUGAAAAUCUUCAUGUGGCCCAAUGGAGCAGCCACAGGCACGUCUGUCCCGACACGGCGGUACACGGGACUCAAAGUGCCCGAGUCCCCCAGCUACGUGUUGGAGAGACCUGGCUGCGCUUCCACAGGUGAGUACAAGUCUGAAUUUGCAUGUGACAUUGCACAUUCAAAAAGAAAAGAAAGGUUGGAUUUUUGUAGAGAGCUUUUACUAGAGGAAAUUGAAAAAUAUGCAUCUGACAUAUCUGAAGACUUGGUUUUAACUUGCAUCCUGAUUGUUCCAGAUGUUCCCCAGAUGUCAAAGGGAACCAAGCGUUGAAACAGCAGAAUGCAUUUGUUUUAACAAGUUCUAACUUCAGUAUUGCCAAAGAAUUAAAAGCCCUGGGUUUGUUUUGAUUUUUCUUUCACUGGUAACUCUAAUAUUUAUUAAUUGCCUUCUAAUUUAAUUGAUGGUGAAUCAGUUCCCUUUUACUCCAGACAGCACAAGGUUGAUAUACAUCCUGAUCCCAGCUUCUCACCAGUUUCUUCUCUUUGGGUUUGUAUGGUACUGAGCAGCUUCUGGAAGACAAGCGCCACGAACAUCGGCAAUGAUCGACACAUACCACGGGUAAAACCAGAGCUCCGAGCCCCUCCGACAGGCUUAUAGAACUCAUGGAUGCGGGGCUUCCCUCUUCAGCGCCCUCCUUGACAGAAAUAUUUCAGGGCGUGUGGAAGAGCUGAAGGCUGCCUGAGAGGGUGGAAACGGCCCGACGUGCUGGCCGGACCCCCUCAGCAGCGCUGCGCCCCCGGGAGCGGCAGCUGGGGCACGGGGCCCGUCCGUGGCCGCGGCGCAGGACCUGGCUGGGGCGGCCCUCGCCUCCUCCCUGGUGCUUCUGCCUGGGCCUUCCCUUCCCCCUUUUCCUCUCCCUUCUUACUCUUUCCCUGUCUGCCUAAGUGAGAAAUCAACACUCAACUAACA